rnacentral:snRNA from 1 species
GGAGGUGAGGGCGAUCUGGCUGUGACAUCUGUCACCCCAUUGAUCACCAGGGUUGAUUUGGUUCAUUUGGCUGGCUAGGCAGGUGUUCCCUUCCUCCUUCAAUGCUUCAUGUGUGUCCCUCCUGAAUCUGUGGGCUUGGAUGAAGAGGACAAAUAGAAGAGGACUUUUUCCUCAGUCAAGAGUAUAUGAGUAAAAUGAUGGAACUUAACAAAAAAAGGGGGAUACAGAUGAAUGUCCAUUUUGUAUCUGUGU